GAGCUAAGCAGAAAAACGGCUGGGGCAGCGUCAGUGGGGGUGGAGAGGACAAACAGAUACUAGAAAUAUUCGGGAGGCAAAUCAGCCGAACUGAAUGUGGGGAGAGAGGAGUCUGGGAGAACGCCCAGGUUUCUCGUAUGAGAACUGGUGGAUGUUAGGGUUAUCACUGAGAUAGCGACGCAGGAAAGAAACAAAUGGGGAGAGCGAGAGGUCUGUCUAGAAUAUGUUGAGCUUUUGAGGGGCUUACAGGAAGAGUGUGGACAGACUUGGCCAAUAGGCGGCCCCUCCGGAUGUGAACUUCCAGGCAGAGCUCAGAAGGGCAGAAUUAGCGACGUCAGUAGCUCGUGGGGAUGGGGGUGUGGUUAAAACCAAGGUGGGAGCAGGCGCCCCAGGCCCAGGAGAGGUGCUCAUGCGCAGGAUGGACAAAGGGGUCUCCAGCAAGAGCCCGAGGAAGUCGGGCCAUACCCCAUUUUUGCGGAGAAGAGAUUUAGUACAGAGCCCUGUGAAACCCCCUAAGUUUAGGAUACAGGUCAAACUUAGGAGGUCCCGAAGAGGGCAGAGAAGGUGGGAGAAAAGCCAGGAGGAAGUGAGGGGAGAGGUUGCGGGGCCCGUGGAGACGAAAGGAGGAACUCCCUUCGCGCUCCUGCAGACCGCCGCGGGGAGACAGGACGCAGGAGCCCGGGACUCCCCCUCCCGGCGGGAGGAAGCGUUGCUCCUCCGCGUAGUCCUCCUUCUCUCUUCCCUCGCCGCUCCCGCCCCGUCCCCGCCCCCACUGGCUGUGUCCCGGAAGUGGUCCUAUGCUGGGUCCGGAUGCCGGGAGCGGAAUCUCGGCACUCCCGGAAGUGGCCUGGAGGCGGUGGGCCAGGCCCGAGCGGUGCUCCCUCCUGCUCGGGCCGCCUCGGCCCCGGGCGUCGCCAUGACCAGCGAGCUGGACAUCUUCGUGGGGAACACUACCCUUAUCGACGAAGACGUGUAUCGCCUCUGGCUCGAUGGUUACUCGGUGACCGACGCGGUGGCCCUGCGGGUGCGCUCGGGAAUCCUGGAGCAGACGGGCGCCACGGCAGCGGUGCUGCAGAGCGACACCAUGGACCAUUACCGCACCUUCCACAUGCUCGAGCGGCUGCUGCACGCACCACCCAAGCUACUGCACCAGCUCAUCUUCCAGAUUCCGCCCUCCCGGCAGGCACUACUCAUCGAGAGGUACUAUGCCUUUGAUGAGGCCUUUGUUCGGGAGGUGCUGGGCAAGAAGCUGUCCAAAGGCACCAAGAAAGACCUGGAUGACAUCAGCACCAAAACAGGCAUCACCCUCAAGAGCUGCCGGAGACAGUUUGACAACUUUAAGCGAGUCUUCAAGGUGGUAGAGGAAAUGCGGGGCUCCCUGGUGGACAAUAUUCAGCAACACUUUCUCCUCUCUGACCGGUUGGCCAGGGACUAUGCAGCCAUCGUCUUCUUUGCUAACAACCGCUUUGAGACAGGGAAGAAAAAACUGCAGUAUCUGAGCUUCGGUGACUUUGCCUUCUGUGCUGAGCUCAUGAUCCAAAACUGGACCCUUGGAGCCGUCGACUCGCAGAUGGAUGACAUGGACAUGGACUUAGACAAGGAAUUUCUCCAGGACUUGAAGGAACUCAAGGUGCUAGUGGCUGACAAGGACCUUCUGGACCUGCACAAGAGCCUGGUGUGCACUGCUCUCCGGGGAAAGCUGGGUGUCUUCUCUGAGAUGGAAGCCAACUUCAAGGUCUGUGGUCCCAUCCAGCCUCUGGCCUUUGGCAUCGUCAGCCUCCAGUUCGCCACCUCUACUGGGCAGCUCUGCCCCUCCCAGAGACUGGCCGGCAGGUGGCGCUGCUGCUCCCUCUGGUGGCUGCUGAUGGCGGCCGCUGACGGGAGCAGCUCAUAAACAAUGGGGACUUGGUUGAUGGAGGGAGGUGGAUGGAUCUGGGGAGGGACCUACUCCUCCCCCAGCUUCUGUGCUCAGCUCCCAACUUCUGGGGCAGAAAGCAGAACUCCAAGGAUCCCUGCCCCACAGAACCUGUCCCGGGGGCUGGUGAACGUGGCCGCCAAGCUGACUCACAAUAAAGAUGUCAGAGACCUGUUUGUGGACCUCGUGGAGAAGUUUGUGGAACCCUGCCGCUCCGACCACUGGCCACUCAGCGACGUGCGGUUCUUCCUGAAUCAGUAUUCAGCGUCUGUCCACUCCCUCGAUGGCUUCCGACACCAGGCCCUCUGGGACCGCUACAUGGGCACCCUCCGCGGCUGCCUCCUGCGCCUCUAUCAUGACUGAGGCCCCUCCCAAUGUCCCGCCCACACUGACAAUAAAGUUGCCCUGAGUUUGGA